AGGAAAAUUUAAAAUAAAAGAAAGAAUUGGAAAAGAAAGGGUUGUCUUGUGAAAUUGGGCCAAAAUUAAUGCUGAGCCCAAAGCCUAUACCCAAAUCUGCCCAAACUCAAUAAGUCACUCAAAGCCCAAUCUCCCUACCAAAAUACCCAUUACCCUUUGCCCUAAUCCCUCACAUAAAAGGGGAGUUAAGGCACAAAAUAGAUCAGAUUUUAGACAUCCCCUCCCAAGCAAAAGGGCGCAGCUCCCCAUUUUUUGGUCUUCCUCUAUUCUUUCUUCUUCCGAAAAAUUACAAUAAACAGACCCAAGGAACGCAGCUUUUUUAUCAUUUUCUUCACUAGAUUUUUGACAGAACCACCCCUUCCCAUUUGGCCAUUUUCGAUUGAGAACGGACAGAGAGAGGAGGUAAACAGUGAGUUUGAAAUCAUGGAGGUUUCUUUCGAAAUUCCUGGAUAAAAUUUGGAAAAAUCGGACAAAAAAUUUCAGAGAGAAAGUUGGAGUGUUCAAACUCUCAAAAAUUGCUGAUUUCGCUGUUGUACUGCUGUGCUGCUGAAGCUCUAACCAUGGACAGUGCUGGACUUUAGUUGGUUUUGAUUUUAAUCUUGCACCAUUAGAAAAGGUUCAUGUUGGAGUGCGAUAUAUGUGAAGAUGGAAUUAGCUACCUGCUGUAAACUGGUUGUUGCCUAGUUGUAGAUUGUGGUUAUUAAAAGUGGCAGAUAUUAAGGACGCAUUUCCUCUAUUCCAAGUUGUAUAUUUAAACCAGUUGGAUUAUCUUCCUAAUCUCCAUUCUAGUCAAACUUUGUUGACACAAGCAGUACUAAUAUAAGGAAUGAUCAGAUGAAUUCGAUUUUGUGUCUUCCAUUCAUGAAUAUUCAAUGUUGUUGACGUGGA